rnacentral:rRNA from 1 species
GCUUGUCUCAAAGAUUAAGCCAUGCAUGUCUAAGUACAAGCCUCAGUAAGGUGAAACCGCGAAUGGCUCAUUAAAACAGUUAUAGUUUAUUUGAUAAUCGAAUUUACAUGGAUAACCGUGGUAAUUCUAGAGCUAAUACAUGCUGGUUAGCCUGACUUUUAGGAAGGGCUGUAUUUAUUAGAUAACAAACCAAUAUUCCUCGUGUCUAUUGUGAUGACUCAUAAUAACUGAUCGAAUCGCAUGGGCCUUGCCCGCGAUACAUCAUUCAAGUUUCUGCCCCAUCAGCUUUCGAUGGUAGUGUAUUGGACUACCAUGGCUUUAACGGGUAACGGAGGAUUAGGGUUCGAUUCCGGAGAGGGAGCCUGAGAAACGGCUACCACAUCUAAGGAAGGCAGCAGG